CCCCUUUAAAAGUGUCCUGUACCAAGUCAGGAAGAUGGCCAUUGUUAUAUUAUUGUUCGUUUCUGUGUGUGUUGCAUUUUAACGUUGAGUCGUUUUUGUGUUUUCUCUUAUUUUUGAGAUAUUGAGAUAAGACGUGGCACGGUACUUGUCUAUCCCAAAUUCAUGUAUUUGGUUUUCAUGUUAUAUUUGUUAUUCUCGUGGUGUUUUGUCUGAUGCUUGGUCCGUUUCUGUGUGUGUUACGUUUCGGUGUUAUGUCGUUGUUCUCCUCUUAUAUUUAA
rnacentral:lncRNA from 1 species